AGGUUAAGUGAAUAAGGGCGCACGGUGGAUGCCUUGGCACUAGGAGCCGAUGAAGGACGGGACUAACACCGAUAUGCUUUGGGGAGCUGUAAGUAAGCUAUGAUCCAGAGAUUUCCGAAUGGGGGAACCCAGCAUCUUUUAUAGGAUGUUACGUCUGCGUGAAUACAUAGCGCAGUCGAGGUAGACGCAGAGAACUGAAACAUCUAAGUACCUGCAGGAAGAGAAAGAAAAUUCGAUUCCCUGAGUAGCGGCGAGCGAAACGGGAAAAGCCCAAACCAACAAGCUUGCUUGUUGGGGUUGUAGGACUCCGAUAUGGUAGUCUAUUCAGAUAGUCGAAAUACUUGGAAAAGUAUGUCAAAGAGGGUAAAAACCCCGUAGGCGAAAUUUGGAUAACACCUAGGAGGAUCCUGAGUACGGCGGAACACGAGGAAUUCCGUCGGAAUCCGGGAGGACCAUCUCCCAAGGCUAAAUACUCCCUAGUGACCGAUAGUGAACCAGUACCGUGAGGGAAAGGUGAAAAGCACCCCGGAAGGGGAGUGAAAUAGAUCCUGAAACCGUGUGCCUACAACAAGUUAGAGCCCGUUAAUGGGUGAUAGCGUGCCUUUUGUAGAAUGAACCGGCGAGUUACGAUAGCAUGCGAGGUUAAGUUGAAGAGACGGAGCCGCAGCGAAAGCGAGUCUGAAUAGGGCGAAUGAGUAUGUUGUCGUAGACCCGAAACCAUGUGAUCUACCCAUGUCCAGGUUGAAGGUGCGGUAAAACGCACUGGAGGACCGAACCCACGUACGUUGAAAAGUGCGGGGAUGAGGUGUGGGUAGCGGAGAAAUUCCAAACGAACUUGGAGAUAGCUGGUUCUCUCCGAAAUAGCUUUAGGGCUAGCCUCGGAAUUGAGAAUGAUGGAGGUAGAGCACUGUUUGGACUAGGGGCCCAUCUCGGGUUACCGAAUUCAGAUAAACUCCGAAUGCCAUUCAUUCAUAUCCGGGAGUCAGACUGUGAGUGAUAAGAUCCAUAGUCGAAAGGGAAACAGCCCAGACCACCAGCUAAGGUCCCCAAAUAACUAUUAAGUGGAAAAGGAUGUGGGGUUGCACAGACAACUAGGAUGUUGGCUUAGAAGCAGCCACCAUUUAAAGAGUGCGUAAUAGCUCACUAGUCGAGUGACCCUGCGCCGAAAAUGUACCGGGGCUAAAUAGUUUACCGAAGCUGUGGAGUGCACCAUCAGGUGCAUUGGUAGGAGAGCGUUCUAAGGGCGUUGAAGGCAGAUCGUGAGGACUGCUGGAGCGCUUAGAAGUGAGAAUGCCGGUAUGAGUAGCGAAAGACAGGUGAGAAUCCUGUCCACCGAAUGACUAAGGUUUCCUGGGGAAGGCUCGUCCGCCCAGGGUUAGUCGGGACCUAAGCCGAGGCCGACAGGCGUAGGCGAUGGACAACAGGUUGAUAUUCCUGUACCCGUUGUUUUUGUUUGAGCAAUGGAGGGACGCAGGAGGCUAAGAAGUGCAGACUGAUGGAUAUGUCUGUUCAAGCAGUAAGUCUUGGUAGGAGUCAAAUGCUUCUACCUAUACGGACAAGCUGUGAUGAGGAGGGAAAUAAUAGUACCGAAGCUUCUGAUGUCACACUGCCAAGAAAAGCUUCUAGUGAGAAAACAACGGCCCGUACCGCAAACCGACACAGGUAGUCGAGGAGAGAAUCCUAAGGUGAGCGAGAGAACUCUCGUUAAGGAACUCGGCAAAAUGACCCCGUAACUUCGGGAGAAGGGGUGCUGCUCUAACGAGCAGCCGCAGUGAAUAGGCCCAAGCGACUGUUUAUCAAAAACACAGGUCUCUGCAAAAUCGAAAG
rnacentral:rRNA from 1 species